rnacentral:lncRNA from 1 species
UUUUCAGUUUAUCACACCACAUGGGCUUUUUAUCCUAUUUGGAGUGUAUGGUGAUGUACAUCGAGUGAAGAUUAUGUUUAACAAGAAAGAAAAUGCCUUGGUGCAGAUGGCCGAUGCGAGUCAAGCCCAGAUAGCAAUGAACCACCUAAGUGGUCAGAGACUUUAUGGAAAAGUACUUCGGGCUACACUGUCCAAACAUCAAGCUGUCCAGCUCCCUAGAGAGGGACAAGAAGACCAAGGUCUGACCAAGGACUUCAGCAAUAGUCCCCUGCAUCGCUUUAAAAAGCCUGGCUCAAAGAACUUCCAAAACAUCUUCCCUCCGUCAGCCACAC